rnacentral:misc_RNA from 1 species
AAAGGAAAGAAUGGAGAAGGCAUCGGCUGCUGUUGCUUCAUAACUUGAGCCUUGAAUGCAAUGUGGCUAAAAUUUGCAUUGCUUUCACAUUCACUGCAUGUUCCAUUCAUUUCGGUAUGUUAUGGAUGGAUGGGGAGUCAUUGCCAGUCUCUUUGAAGCAUAUUUGAUUGGUUCAAUGGUCAUGGAGAUCAGUAGGCCCUGAAGGGUUUUCAGGUUCUGGUUAUUGGUAAACUGCAUGCCUGAGUUCCCAUAUACUAGGUAGAUUUUGGGAUUGGGAACUUUGUGCUGUAACCCACCAUAGUUUGAGGC